rnacentral:rRNA from 1 species
GUGCCAGCAGCCGCGGUAAUACGUAGGGGGCAAGCGUUAUCCGGAUUUACUGGGUGUAAAGGGAGCGUAGGUGGCAAAUCAAGUCAGAUGUGAAAGCCCGGGGCUCAACUCCGGGAUUGCAUUUGAAACUGGUAUGCUAGAGUGCAGGAGAGGUAAGUGGAAUUCCUAGUGUAGCGGUGAAAUGCGUAGAUAUUAGGAGGAAUACCGAAGGCGGCUUACUGGACUGUAACUGACACUGAGGCUCGAAAGCGUGGGGAGCAAACAGGAUUAGAUACCCUGGUAGUCCACGUCGUAAACGAUGAAUACUAGGUGUCGGGGGUCAAAAGACCUUCGGUGCCGUCGCAAACGCAUUAAGUAUUCCACCUGGGGAGUACGUUCGCAAGAAUGAAACUUAAAGGGAUUGGCGG